rnacentral:tRNA from 1 species
UUAACUGAAGCCAAAAAGAGGCCUAUCACUGUUAAUGAUAAAAAUGAAAUUAUACUCCGGUUAAA